CUUUUAUGGAGAGUUUGAUCUUGGCUCAGGACGAACGCUGGCGGCGUGCCUAAUACAUGCAAGUCGAGCGCGGGAAGCAAGCAGAUCUCCUUCGGGAGUGACGCUUGUGGAACGAGCGGCGGACGGGUGAGUAACACGUGGGCAACCUACCUGUAAGACUGGGAUAACUCCGGGAAACCGGGGCUAAUACCGGAUGAAACAAAGCGUCGCAUGACGCAAUGUUAAAAGGCGGCAUAUGCUGUCACUUACAGAUGGGCCCGCGGCGCAUUAGCUAG
rnacentral:rRNA from 1 species